AGAUAGAGGUUAUCUCCAUCCUCCGCAAGUCCACAACUUUGCAACUUCCUCUUCCUCCGUAGCCCCACGCUUUGCGCCUCCAUCUCCAUCAUUCGGUGGCCGGUGCUGCAGUGUGUCACGCCCUCUCCCCAUGGCCAUGCCGGAUCUGCACCCCGAUGUGAGGAUCGGCCAACACCGAUGAGCAAUCACGUAAGCCCCAGGUCAGAAUGAGUUUGUUGGGAACCUGUGUUUAGGGGUGAAAACGGUCGGAAACGAUCGGUAAACACUAAAACCAUUUCCGUUUUCAUAUUUUUCCUCGGAAACGAGAUCGAAAACGGUAACUCCGGAAACGAAAAUGACAUCGGUAAUUCGAAAACAUCGGUAACGAAAGUUCGGUACGAAAAUUACACCGGUUACAAUCGAAAUCUAAAAUUCGAUCGGUAAAAACUUUAACAUGUACCCUCAAUUGACUUCAAAAAAUCACGCAAAUCAUACAUUCAUAUAAAAUUAGUAAUAAUAUAUAAGGUACGAGGUCACAAUAAAUAUAUAAGGUAAGAAAUAUACAAUAAUAAAAUCAUUAUUAUGCAUUUAAAUAAAGUAGAAUCAAGAUAUGUAUAAUGAUAUGACACUGACAUUCUAUUUAUAUCCCUACUACUUGGCAUAGUCAAUAUAAUUAGUGUCCUCUUAAUACUUCUUAAGUUAUCGUGCAAAUUAUGAAUAUAUGUAUCAAAAGUAAUAAUAGAUAAGAAAACAUAAAUAAGAUUUAUAAAAGUUUGAAACGAUUCUAAACUAUAUAUCAUUAGAUAGAUCUUGAUUUUAGAAAAAUAAUAAAAUUAGUUUCACAUUUUUCUAAGCUAAGAUGAAUUUAUAAAGGUUAGUUCAGAUUUAAUAUUUUUCUGAAAAAAUACCGAAUUUAUUACCGACGGUAAAAUACCGGAUAAAAACGGUAAUUUCCGGAAACGGUCGGAAAAGGUCUAAACCGUUUCCGUUUCCGAUUCCGUUUUUUUUCUACCGAUUUCGUUUCCGUAUUUUCGGUAACCGUUUCCGUUUCCGUUUAGACCUAAAUUUCGGUAAAACUUCGAAAACGAUUCCCGGUAUCCGAAAAUUACCGUUUCCGUUUUCAUCCCUACCUGUGUUUUCUAUUAUUGAUUAGUUGUCUUUACUGAGUAUAGAGUUAGCCUUUUAUAGGCAUUACCUUAGUCCUAAUCAUUCGGCAAAAUAACCCCCAAAUCACCACACCGAAGACUCCUUAAGCAACCCUUCCCCAGAUCUACUAUGUUGCCUAGCUGCAACUCAAUCAGCCAUGACACAGUGCUAUGAUGCAUCUCCGUUGGCCGCCUGCGUGGCUACAAAGCUGCGCUAGCCCAAUCGCUAUGCAGCCCCGCCGGCUAGUGGCGGUUGCUGUCUUAGCCCCCAGCGCUUGUCUGUGCCUCGCCCCUAAAUUUCCAAUGUCUGUCCUUGGCCAGUGACCACCACCCCCAGGCCGCAGCCAACCGAGGUGCCGAAGCUAGUCUACUAGGUGUUGUGCCCCUAGCUACUACCUUGCUUUGCGCCUCUGCGCGUGGUGGUGUCGUGGCCUGUGGUGAACUAAUGACUGCUUGACUUGUGAGCGGUGAGCUGAAAGCCUAAAACGUUAAAUGCUGAAUGAGUCAUGAGUGAAUGUUGAUUGAUUAUUUUCAUUUAGUUCUUUGCUCUAUGUUAAAUGCUAAUUGACCCGUUGUUCACGACUGCAAUUCAGAGCAUGGUGUACUGACUGGUGAGCAGUUGGGCAUAUGUGGAACGUGGUGGUGAGAAAUUUAGUUUUCCUUGGUAAUUCAUUUUAAUUCAAUUUCUUUUUUCAAUCUAUUUUAGUUUUUUUGUUAUCAAUUACAUGUUAUUUUUCUAGUAGAUGUUAUUCUUAUACUGUAUCUCACAUUUAUUGUAAAUGUCCAGUUUCACAAGCUAAUAUUAGUCAACAUAUGCGAUAAGGGGAUGAACUAAAUUGUCUUUAAUUAGGUACUGUGCAUCCUUUACUACUAAUCUGUACUCCCUCGGUACCAAAUUAUAAUUCGUUUGACUUUUUUGUGCCACGUUUGACCGGCUCGUCUUAUUCAAUUUUUUGCGAAAAAAUGAAAAAUUAAAAGCCACAUUUAAAGUAUAUUAUAUACUAAAGAAUAUCAUAGCAAACAUUAACAAUAAUUAUGAAUUUUUUAAUAAGACGAGUCGGUCAAACUUAGGGUUUAAAAGUCAAACGAAUUAUAAAUUGGAACAGAGGGAGUAUUAUAUUUUUAAUCGAUUUGCUGUAUAAUUAGAUGUUGAAUUGAAAUUUGUAUCUUUUCAUCUUUUUAUUUCAUGGUAUAUUAUAAUUUUCAACAGUACAUAUAAUUAUAUAGUUAUUUUGAUCUUAAAAGUGGCCCUAGGCACCUAAACUAUUUGUUUAGUUUCUGAAACCUAUCUGAGAAGCACUCCUCGAUGCAAUUUUCUAGUUGGUGUGUGGCACCAGCGAGGGCGAGGCAUCAGUAAAAAUCUAGUUAAAACAUCAAAUUCCAUGGUGGAUGAUAAUGCCUGAUUUGAGGUCCAGUACUCCAUGAUUUCCUGAUGUCAUCCGCUAUAUUCUGCAGAUAUAAUACAUGAGAAAAGAAUUUUACGUCGAUGCUUUCAUCUAAACCAUUGGCUAAAACAAUACAAAUGCUGCCACGACAGCUCAUGAUCAUCAAAGGUGCUUGCUCAACUAGAAUGUCCAAGGCCAUACAGGAUCCACAAUGUACGGGAUCUCAGUCCUACAUUGUGAAGGUUUAUAUAUUGGUAAGAAAAUAAUCAUUGUUUACUUUUCAGCAUAGUUGAAUGAUCAGAGAAUGUCUAAUGCUUGUAGCUUGUCAUUUUUUCACUGAUGAAAUUACAGAACAUAUUGAUUGUACGUGUAUAUGUAACUAGUCAAUCGUUCACUUGUCGCAAAAAACACUAGACUGAUCAAUGAUGAAGUUUCUACAUACAUGUAGCUUGUCAAUCUUUCAAAACACUGGAUCAGACUCUUUAAAAUAUUCUCAAAUCUUUCAUCAUUAUUUAAAGAACUCAAUUUACAUAAUUUUUCAUAUUGUGCCUUUGCAUAUUACCGAGCGACCAAAAAAUACAUUAGAAUCUGAAAUUACAGUCUGCUGAAAACAGAAUCAGUUAUAGCGUACUCCAAAAAAAGUGCAGUGUCAUAUAUUUUAUUUCUUGACACAUGAUUGUGAUGUCCUAAUUAUUUCACCCGGUUGAAUUCUAUUUAUUUUUAUUAUUGAUACAUGUUACUUGAGGAUUGUUUCAUUUACUGUUUCAUUUAAAUUCUUUAGCACUAUUGAUAUCUAAAAUGCCUUUUAAAUUGUUUUUUUGAAAUCCAACAUGUACUUAUUUCAAGACCUCCAUUCUCACAUGACUCAUUUUAUAUCAUUUCAGAAGCAAGAAAAAUAUAAGGAUGUUAAAGAGGUCGAUGGAAGAAAACAACAACCUCCUUCGUCAACGAUUAAGCUUCAAUUGAUGCCAAGUGCCUAGAUCUUAAGUCUAGUUGACCACUAUAGGAUCUACAGCCUUAUGGCUGCUAUAGUAGCUCUGGAUUUGGAGUUAUAGGAUUAUUUUGAAUUAUGCUUAAUGUUUAAUACUUUUAGUUGAAGUUAUAGGAUUUGCUUUGGAAUUUAAGUUAAAGGAUUUGAAGAUAAAUGUGUUGAUGGAUGAAAUAUUUGUGUUCAAGAAAUUCAUACGAUAUUUUGGUUGUGAUGUGUAAUAUUCCAUGAUAAUAUGAAUGCAUAUGAUGUGUUUCUUCA
rnacentral:lncRNA from 1 species